rnacentral:misc_RNA from 1 species
GCGGAAGCUAUAUCUAACUGGUUGCAGGAUGUGCCACAUACCUGACUGCAUCGGCUACUUGUUCUCUCUAGAAGCUUUAGAUCUAAGUGGAAACUCUUUUAAUCGGAUACCUGCAAGCAUCAGAAUGCUCACGGAGCUGCAAUAUCUCGGUUUAAGGGAUUGCGAGUUGCUACUAUCAAUAAAAGCACUUCCACCCCAGUUGACAAA